GAACAGCAGCAACUUCCUUUGGCCUCACCAAAGUGACUUAAGCCUCCAGCAGUAGUCUUUUGGGAGUCCCUGGCUGAAACUAAGACAUAACUAAUCUCUCCUCCAUUUGCAUAUGAAAUGAUCUGCUCUGCUACAUCAUUUAGCUUCCUGACUUCCUCUUCAUGUCCUACAGAAAGGCUCAGGAGCAGACUGCUGCCAGGAAAGCUCAGGAAGCCACCUCUCUGCUUAUUGACUACUGAUCACUUCAUCAUCAGGUUAAAGAAGACAGUAAUAUGUGUGUAUGAUUAUGGUCCUCAGUCUCCAAAGUUCUCUUUUCUGAACCUGGAACAAAUACAGAAAAAAGCAUUGUCCCCUUCCACAGAGAAGUGGAAGAACAAUCCACAUGAUUGACUUGCAACUGAGUAAGGACUAAGGAGCCUAAGAUUAGGAGAACCUUCAGAUAACACUUGUAAGGAAUAUAUUCCUUGAGCUUGGAAAUAAAGAGGAAGAAGAGGGAAAUGGCCA
rnacentral:lncRNA from 1 species